GCAAAUAGAGGUUGGUUAUGGAGAGGCCAGGCAACCAAAGGCAUGCCAAAGGAUCCCAUUUAUCCCAGUGCAGAGUGAGUAGAAAGAGUAAAGAAAGUUUGCUUCGAUGCUUCUAGAGGCUCUACAUCUUCAUACAUCUGCUCAUUUAAAAUCCCUGCAAAUACCGUAGAGUUUGCUUUUGUGGAGUGGUGUCUACGGUGUCUGCUCUCCCCCUCCUCUCCAUCCCACCCCAGUAAUUCUACUUGUCUAAGAACUAAAUAUUUCAUGCACAAAGGAAUUACAAAGCACAGCUGAGAGCAGUUUCUUGUGGCAAUCUUUGCAUGAAAUGAUUUCAAAAUGAAGUUUACUCUGGAAGCUAUCAGUUGUGUUCUUGGCUGCCUGAGGUGAGAGACACUGAAACUUGCCAUGUCAUCACAUGGGAAGAACUGAAAACCCAAAUGUAUAAGCCAUAUCUGGACCCAUAGGCAGAUCCAAGAGCUUGAAAAGGGAACAGCAACAAUAUGGAGCAGGAGCUGUGUGUUGACUUGCAACGAGGGCAGGCACGGGAGCAGGAGCUGGGGAACUUUUUAAGUUCUCAAGACGGACUGUGGCCAUGAUACACCCCACCACUCCAGCCA